GCCAAUCCGAUCUCAUCAGCUGUCUUUGCUGAUGACUGUGGGUAGUUGUUCAAGGCAAUGAACUGCACUCCUCCUUCAAGCUUUUCUUGCAGAGGUUAGAAUGGCUGUCAAGAUGCAUCCAGUGAUCAUCAGUGUGCUAUGUGGUGGAGCACAUCGGCAGUGGAGGGGAGGUUACCUGUAAGUUGAUGGCUGCUGCGGCCAGAACUUAAUCCAGUCAUCCAGUGGAUUGGCAUAGUGCUUCAGGAACGACCUGGACAUGCUGAUCCCAUCUCUCGAGCUGGUGGUGUACCUGAUGGGUUGCCGAAUAUCGUCGGACGCGAACUCCUCCUUGCGUUCUGUUGAUAGCUGGAAGAACUCGGAGGCGGUUUCGAGGGCGCCCUUCAUGCAAGACUUGCUGAUGCCAUGGUUUACCACCUGCAGACGCAAAGUUGAAGCGGUCUGACAUGUGUUGGACGACAAGCAGAGGAUGCAGGGUGACAAGUACGCGCUAACCUGGAAGCAGCCACGUUCGCGGCACGCCAGCACAAUAUCCUGCACGGCGAGCGCCUGGGAGGCACUGUCCAUGCUGAGCCGGCCCAUGUUGAUCACCGGC